GUGGACUCACGUCCUGACCAGAGCUUCCCCCUCCCUCGGCCAGCCCCCCCCCAGCCCUGUGUAUCCCCCCGCAGCCUGACCCCCAGCCCGGGCUGACCCCCGGGGGGGGGGGGGGGGGGAAUGUGAAAAGGAGGAGGAGGAGGAGAAGGGGUGGGGGGGGGCGCAGGCACUUGUGCCGGCGCAGCCUCUCGCAUCAAGUGAGGACUAAUCCCAUCCCUGGGCCUGCUCUCUGUUCCCUUCCUGCAUUAGAGAUUGGCUAUAAGGAGAAGGCUGACGGCUGCAGCAUGAAGCGCAUUAUUACCUUGUGAUUCCAUGACCCUCCUCUAUGCAUCCCUAACUCUCGAAAGCUGAUUCAGCUUUCAGCUAGUGCUCUGGUGAGUCCUCUGCUGCAACAGAAGCUCCUAACUGAUGGGAGAGUGAGACUGAGCUAACUGAGGUGCUCCCAUCCUUAUCCCGGUAGGAAUUCCGAGGGGAGAAGACUACUAAAAGAUGCCUGCGGGUCAUCCUGCAAAUCCUCUGACCUCAGGAAGGGAGCAGGAAUCCGAGUGAUCCAAAAAAUUGUUUGGGGAGGUAAAGAAUCACAGAAACACAGAAUCACAAAAUGGUCAGUGUUGGAAGGGACCUCUGGAGAUCAUCUAGCCCAACACCCAACAGGUAAAUGUAAAUAAAGCAGCAUUUUCUCCUCCUUUCCUUCUACAGGAUUUUCUUCCUCCUAUAGGAUUGUUGUGUAAUGAUACUCCCAGUGAGAAAAUAAAACUGGUCUAUUGCAAUGAUUGUACUUGCAGGAGGAGAAUUCAUGCCCUGGUCCAACAUCACUCGCCUCAGGAGCUGCUUUGGGUGAGGGAGGGGAUGGCACCCAGUUCAUUAAUAUCUUAAUAAAUUUACUUUCACUGCAGCACUUCCCAUCCCCUGAGACCUCCCAAGGUUUUGCUGAGACUGGCUAUAUUCAGGAAUUAUAUAGCUGUAGAAGCAGUUUCUCAGCCAAAUCCAACUGUCCAGUUUGACUAUUUUUACUAUUACUAGGUUUGGGACUUUAAAGAAGAACAUUUCUACUUGCUUCCUGAGAUUUCACAGAUUCCGGAAGAAAUUUCACAGGAGACAAAUUUCCUGACUGCCUGUGUGACUACCUCAGAACAUGUAAUCCCUGUAGAGUGGAAAUAAUUUUUUGUGGGGGUUUUGCUUUUUGCCCAAACUUCCUAAUUUGCAAACUCUUUAGAGAAGUGACUCAACUGAUUUGCCCAAUGCCUGGCACAGUUUGGUAAUGAGAUGAAAUAAUUCUAAUAACUUCCCUAACUGAAGUGCCUUUGUUGCCUCUGUUGUGGUCUCUUGGCUUUGCCUGCACAGAAAAUAUCUGUCAUUAUCCUGCUAGACAUAAAUAACAGCUUCUUUGGAAGACAGAGAUUGUAUUUUUUACUGGACCUAUCUACUCUUAUUUUCCAUAAGCAACAGCCACCCCACCCUGUGUGUGCAAUGAGGCCACUGAGUCACCAGCAUGAAGCAGUGACCAACUCAUACAUCUCACCAGGGAGGACCCAAAAUCCCCUCCAAAGAAGAGAAGAGACAUCUUUCUUCAGAUGAUAAUUAGAGGUGAAAAAAUGUAGCCUGGAAGCAAUUAAAAAAAAAAAAAAAAAGACAUUUCAGACCUGGCAGGUCCAGGGCACAUCUCCUUGUGCAAAGGUUUGCUUGCUCAAGCCCUGGCAUGGGCCACCCAGGGCAGAGGAGGAGUCCCAUCCCUGGAGGGAUUUAAAAGACAUGUAGAUGUGUCACUUGGGGAAAUGGUUUAGUGUGGGCUUGGCAGUGUUGGGGGAAUGGUUGCACUUGAUGAUCUUAGGUGGCUUUUCCAGCCUAUGGUUCUAAAUGAUUCUGUGAUUCUGCCUCCUCCUGAGGGGCAUUUUGAGCUCCCAGCUGAGCUCAGAGUGGGGCACAUGCGGUGAAGUACAUGGGAAGUGCUCCAGGGGACUGAGACAUCUUUGGAGGGGCAAGAGGCAGCUGUGUGAUGGUAAGCACAGAGCACAGAUUAACAAAAAGCUAUUACCAGGGUGAACAUCAGCCCCAGGACACCAAGGCAUCCCCAGACAGAGGGCUCUGCACAGCAGGAGAUGUUGACACCCUCCCUGAUGGUAUCCAUGGUGAAAUCCAGCCCUGAUGAAAUCCAGCAGGCCAACCUCUCCUGUAGACCUUGAUCCUGCAAGAGGAACUACAGGGAUGGAUUUUCAAAGUCAGCCAGAACCAGCUGGAUUGAGGCCUUAUCUGAGAUAGCAAUAGAAUUAGCCACGUGAUUUCUUUUCCAUGUUUACAGUGGCAAUAUUUUUCCAAAGUUCAAAGUCUUCCUCUGCAGGAAGCAUGUGAUAUGCUUUGCAGUCACACCAUAUUUUGGUGCUAUGAACAAUUAAAAAAAUCAAUUUCCGGAGCAAUAUUUUCUAUGUUUGUAAUCUCUGAACUAAUUACAGGGCUGGAAAAUCAAUAGCUAUCUGGAAAUCUUUCCAAUACAGCUAACUAAGCAUGCUGCAUAUCAUGCUGGAAUAUAUUCUUCACAAACACAUGCUGCUCAUGACCAUCUCCCAGAUCACACAGGCAGAUGAUAUCACUGUUAAUAAGCCCCUGUGCUUCACUGCACUGCAAUGGGAGCAUUUACCAAAAUCUGCAGGGGGGAUUGGGCAGAGCAAAUAGCACAGUACACGAGAGCUGGAGCAAUGCUUGUGCCAGCAUUUUAAGCCAACAACAAAAACAGUUGCAAGACUCAUUUAGUUCAACAGGAACCUAAAAAAAGAUUAUGAAAUAAAGUCAUUAAAAGUUCAUGCCUUAGUUAUAAUGUUGGUUUUUUUGUCAUGCUGUAUUAAAAUAAGAAGUAAAACCUUUGAUGACUGAAAAUAACCUCUUUGUCUAGUUUCCUAGUAAGAGAGAAGUGGUGUUAAAUGGGUAGUUUGAUGGUGAUUAUACAUCAAAAACACACGUGAAGAGGAAGGGUGUUGCUCUGAUGGAUGGAUCUCCUCUUGCUGUACAAACACACUCAGUUGACCAUGGCAGCUCAGUUGGAGCCAAAGCUCAAACCCUUGUGCUGAUGCUCUUCACUGCUUCCCACACACUCUGCAGGCAUUGCUGGGAUCUUCUCCAAGAUGCUGCCGCCUCCCUCGUGCCCUGCAAGAGCUCAGUGUGCUCUUCCUUGGUAUGCUGGAGUUUGUGCUGCUGCUAAAUGAAGAGGAAAUAUUCCCACUGGACACGGUGCCAGCAGCACAGCAAGUGGAUAAGAAGCACAGACCACAGUACAGGGGAUUUUCCCCAGGCUCCCAUUUGCACUCCUGCUUGGUACAAGAAAGCAAUGAAUUCUGAGCUGUCACCAAGCCACAAAAUAUUUGCUCUGAUUUUAUAUGUUUUUCUCUGAUUAUUCUUCAUAGCUGUUUUCCCCCCAAUGAAUUGAAAUCUCUGCCCUCACUCCCUCCCCAAGUCGGGAGAUUCCUGCAGUUCUCCAAGUUGGUGAUCCUCAUCCUGGAGUGGAACUUUGGGUCUAGCAGCCCAUGAGUUAAGGUGCAGCAUGUGCCUUGUCCCAGCCCUCAUCUCAGGAGACAGGUCGUGAUUUAUAGUCCCUCCUAAAUAAUUUGGCAGGUUAGUUACACCCAAAGAAUUUAAAUUUUGGAGCUGGACAUGAUGCAUGUAGUGAGCUGGAUUGGAACUAUUGUCAUUAUUAAUUUCUGUUUGCAUUUCUGUAGCACUCCCAUGUGCAGAUGAGGAUUUCCUGUGCCUGGUGCAGCACACUGGCACAGAGAAAGGAGCCCUUUCUGUCAGCUCCAUGCUGACAGCCUGCCUGGAACAGCAAGCCCAAACCUGAGAGGGGCUGGGGGUGCUGAUGGCAACAGCACCCAAAACACACACUCCAAUGGUGUGGCUCUGCUAAUCUGGGCUGUUUCCUGCCAAGAAGCAACAACUACAAAAAUAUUGUGCUUAUCAUUACCACAGUAAAAGUUUCUCUUUUAACUUCCUAGGCUGAAAUGACCCUGAUGGUGACGCAGAGCUGUGGGUGCCACGCAUUGCUCAGACUCUGCAGGACCAGACCUACAGCUGCUGCACUAAAUUUCAAUGUCUUCUCUUCAGAUGAUGAUGUCUUUGGACUUUCCUAUUUUUCUUGCCAAUCUAAUGUCAUAUUUCCUUCAAAUAAAACUCGGUGUGUGAGAACUCA